GACGUAGGGCGCGAGCGUUGUCCGGAUUUAUUGGGCGUAAAGAGCUCGUAGGCGGUUUGUCGCGUCUGCUGUGAAAACUGGAGGCUCAACCUCCAGCCUGCAGUGGGUACGGGCAGACUAGAGGUGCGGUAGGGGAGAUUGGAAUUCCUGGUGUAGCGGUGGAAUGCGCAGAUAUCAGGAGGAACACCGGUGGCGAAGGCGGUUCUCUGGGCAUUACCUGACGCUGGAGGAGCGAAAGCAUGGGUAGCGAACAGG
rnacentral:rRNA from 1 species